GACGAACGCUGGCGGCGUGCUUAACACAUGCAAGUCGAGCGGUAAGGCCCUUUCGGGGGUACACGAGCGGCGAACGGGUGAGUAACACGUGGGUGACCUGCCCUCAGCUCUGGGAUAAGCCUGGGAAACCGGGUCUAGUACUGGAUAUGACUCCAUGACGCAUGUUGUGGGGUGGAAAGCCUUGUGCGGCUGAGGAUGGGCCCGCGGCCUAUCAGCUUGUUGGUGGGGUGANGGCCUACCAAGGCGACGACGGGUAGCCGGCCUGAGAGGGCGACCGGCCACACUGGGACUGAGACACGGCCCAGACUCCUACGGGAGGCAGCAGUGGGGAAUCUUGCGCAAUGGGCGAAAGCCUGACGCAGCGACGCCGCGUGAGGGAUG
rnacentral:rRNA from 1 species